UGCUCUGUCACUCGCAGCGUUUCAACCAAGAAAGGGAUAGCGCCGGAGCAACCGAUGAUUGGUUUGUUGGAGUCCAGCGCGCUCAGCCCCAGGAAAUUAGCAACAACUGCUUCCGCGAUGGCGUCGUUACCGGAUUCAGUACUGACGCAUCGUUGGCAAUGGCGAGGUUGAGCAGAGCAUAAAGAGCAGCAAUCUGAGAGCGGAAAGUGGGAUCUCGGGCGUCGAGCAGAGCAACAAGCGGCGGAAUGACGCCGAGAAGGGCGAGAGUGGUGCGGGCUUGGGGAUCGUCCUUGGUCAACCUCCUGACAUCGGCGGCGCCGUCGAGCAUUGAUCCAUCCAGCUGCAGUUUCCGAGCCACAUUUUUGAGGGUUUGGAGCAGCUGCUCUUUCCGCCUCACCUCGUCGUCGUUUUCCCACCACUCCGGCUGCUUCAGCAGCUCCGACAACUUGUCCGAUCCGGCGGCAUGCGAUCUCUUCUUCGCCGCCUCGGGUUUCUUCCGCUGCAGACCUCCGCCGCAGCGCACACUGUCGAUUAUGAGAGACCAGAGCUUGAGAGGGCGCUCCAGCACCACGGAUCCGCCUUCACACUUGCCCAUGGCGAUCACAUCCGUCGCAGUCUAGGGAAUAUUUGAGGUGGACUACAGCGCAUAGAGAAAUCAAUGGUACAUUACACACUAGUGUUUGAUGUUUCUUUCAUUAAUUAAUGCAGACACAAUUCAUUAAUGGGGGUGAGCGGAGGUAGUGGAGACUUGGGGGGUUGUGGCACUGGCGGCAGAGAGAGAGAGGUUUUAGUUGAUCUAGGAGAUUAAAAUUACUACUAUACUCCAUGUAUGUACAAGCCCGACACUAAAUUAUAUAAUGUCCCCUUUACUUUA